GACUCCAGUCAAUUUUAGUCUCGGCAGUGACCUGGUUAGACGGUUUGUGCCGCGCGGCGUCGUGCAGCCAUGUUUCAUUAACGCAUGCACAGCAGCACGCCCGGGACGGGCCGCGUGCUUGCAUACGUAUUUAUUUUCCAUGAUCACUCGUACACUUGACUAGUGGAACAGUGCGUACGUGCACGGAAAUGAAACAGUGGUAAUCGCAGUACGGAUAUUCGUCUAGUACGUAAAGCCGGUCGCGUGCCUCUUCGCUCGGCUGACGGAGUGACUCUGCGCAUGCGUGGACUCGAUCGACGUGCCAGAAAUUCCUGAAAAGCACUGAAAAUCAAGAGUAUCCCAGAUGGUCUCCAGUUCGAGAAUUCUAGGAAACAAAUUCCUCUCACGUUUAAAAGGAUUUUGGAAAACGUCAAAAAACCUUGAAAAACCACUAGCAUCCGAGGUCUUGACCAGCUAUCUAAUCCAGACAAAUGAACCACCCUGGACCUCUUACUUUGUUAAGUGCUCAGACAUAGUCAAUGAUCAAAGAGGGAUGUCACAUUUUAAUUGGCCAGUCGGCAGCAGCAAUUAUCAUAUCUUAAGGACUGGCUGUUUUCCUUAUAUCAAGUAUCACUGUACCAAGAGACCCAAACAGGACCUGAGCAUGGAAGACAAAUUUUUCAAGGCGAUCAAGAUAGUUAACCUUGGAAUACCAACCUUGAUGUAUGGAUUGGCAGCUACCCAAUUGAUUAGACAUCAGGAAAUUGUAAAGACACCCCGAGGGGACGUGACGAUUUACUUUUUACUACCGGAAGACAAAGGAGCCAGAUACUGAUGUGUCAGGACGACACCCAUACAUGAUACAUAGGUCACGACUACAGAGUACCAAACAUCUUGACCUUGUAGAUUGGUACCAGUAUCCGAGUAUCUGGGAUCCACGUAUCGGAUACGAUGAAUCAACUUGGACCAUCGUCAUAGAUCACUUCCCUGCGGGUAGCCUGGUUGGGCCAUGUCAAAGUGGAAGUGAUAACGCACCGAGUUAUUAACGUCGUGUUUUAAUUAGUUACUCGUGUUCUCGCUCACGUGUCUACGCACAAUAUUCGAUAUCCCGAUAGAUCAUUAAGCCCUGAUAAAAUCUGUCGCUCCAACUAUUGACAUUUAACGUUCGAAGAUUUAUGCGCGCACGUGUUUCCUGUACGCGAUGCAUAAUAAUUUUUAUUAAUUAUACAUAUAUACGUAUAUAUGGGUAUACACGUGCGUUCGUUGCUUCCAUGGCAGCAGUGUACGUUCCUAGAUCGGCUGACCAGCUAUAGGCAAGGUAUACGUAUAUACUUUGAGUUGAGGAUAAACCGCCUACGUUCACCCGGAUUGACGUUUAUGGCUGGACUGUACGUAUUCACUUUAAGAUAAGAAGCUGCCUGAUUGCGUGUACCAUAUGCGACAAAUGAUAUAAAGCACGUGUACCUAGUAUCGAGAGAACUAUUAAUAAUUAUUUUAUAGGUAUACUAAAGUGACACUUUUAGUUUAUUACUUUUAUAAGGGACUGUAGCUCUUGUAGGUGAACUUUAUUAGUCUUGGACUUGUCAAACUAUUGGAUGAUUGUCUAUCUUUUUUUUUUUUUCGGCAAGUUACCAACCUUAAGAAUUGUCUGUCUAUAGUCUCCGAAGGCGAAUGGAUCUCGGAUAAAUGUGAAUGGUCUUUCAGGGUCAAUUCUCAUAAGCCACCGAGACAUUCUACUGUGAGAGAUUCAAUUUCGUGGGCAUUCGUAGUACCAUUAUUAAAUUUUACUUGAAUAAUUUUUUUCUAGCAAACCUAUUUUCUUACGGUUCCUUCAAUUUUGUGUAAUUCUCUAUUUUUCACUGUGACACGUUCUUUGACUUUGAGUUGGGUCUUUUUUUGAAUACUGUAUCUAGGUGGUUCACCAAGUACUCUAAUCGAACUUUCUCUAUCUGUACGUAAUAGUUGGUAUACGUAACUAUUUCAAUUUACAUGUUAUAUACCGUAUGUAGUUGCCGGUUACGUCUUUAGGUCUUUUAUUAAUAAUUAGAAAUUUAUAUCAAGUAAAUAAAGGAUUUUUUAAUAUCAUCUACCUAGUAAUCCGAUUAUACGUUAAACUCACGGAAUCCACUGUAGGCAAUUUUUAUAAUUACAAACUUGUAAUUUAAUUAACGACUUACCUUAUAAUGUAUUAAUAAAAUAAUUAAAUCAUUAUAUAAGUACGUCAACACACGUUGAACUUUAAGUAAACAUUAAUGCAACACAGACCAACCAAGAAACCAGUAUAAUUUUUUCCUACUUAUCAAGAAUCAAACUAAUAAAAAUAAUUGGAAGUUUGUCCGAUCGAAAGAAAUUAAAAGCAUUGAUCGGUAAAACAUAAUAUCUACUCAUUAUCCGCUAUAGUCAUACUCGAGCUAACGAUUUCUAAUUCCCUCAAUAUGUAAAUUGAAAUUACACGGAAAGAACAAAAAAAAUUGCUAAAACUCCCGGCGAACCGUGAAAUUAUAUAAUGCGUUCUCACAAGCAUAUACUGCUCUGUAUACGUAAAUUUAGGUGUGAAGCCUGGAUGUCGGUACAACAGAUUUCUUCUACAUCGUAGAAAUAAUGCAUAUUCCAUAUACAACGGUCACGCCUUUACUCUCGUGGAACGCAUUGAUUAAUAUAUUAAUUAACGCAGUCUGCUUUCACCUCGCCGCAAACUCACCCAAAGACUUUCCCCGAAUUUCACUAUAAGUGCACCUCGGGUUUUGCCGUAUAACCGAUUUAACAUAUUUCUCCUAUUUCGACGAGCCAGUAACACGAUAUCGUGCAAUAAUAGCGAAACGCUUGCAUAUCCAUUGAAUAUACACAAACAUAUAUAUAUAUAUAUAUAUAUAUAUAUGUAAAAUUGUGCACCCAUAUAUAUACAUACGUAUAUACGAAAGUUAACAUAAAAAGGGGUGAAACUUCGAGCAACGUUUUGUUCACAAAUGGCGUUUAAUUUGUUUUUCUGUAGAAACAGCAUUAAAAUGACUACUGCGAUUACUAAUCAUUGUAUCUGACCUCAUCGAUAUUAGAGAUUUCGAAAGCGUCGCUCUUACCACAGUGAUCGUACAGUCACUUAAUUUCUUUUUUAAGCGUCGACAAAUUAAGCUGCACUGUAGAAAAAAAAUCGUAUAACGCUAUUUAUCAGGUGUCAGAUAAUUGUCCUUGCUGGACGUCCAGUAGACGCCUGGAAGACGUCACUGCCACGUUGGGCACAAUAUAAUCAAUUAUCGUUUACGAAUAAGCAUUAAUCCAAUUAUCCAAGACUGAUUUACCUGACUGAACAUAAUCCAGCAUAUAUGUUGCCCUUUUUGUAUUUUGACGUUUUGGAAUGUGAUAUAUA